GACGAACGCUGGCGGCGUGCUUAACACAUGCAAGUCGAACGGAAAGGCCUGCUUUCCCUUGUGGAUUGCGGGUCCUCGAGUGGCGAACGGGUGAGUAACAAGUGAGUGAUCUGCCCCCAACUUGGGUAUAAGCCUGGGAAACUGGGUCUAAUUACCGAUAGGACUGCAGGGUGGUGCCUGUGGUGGAAAACGAUUUUCUAGUGGUUGGGGAUGCGCUCGCGGCCUAUCAGCUUGUUGGUGGGGUAAUGGCCUACCAAGGCGGCGACGGGUAGCCGGCGUGAGAGGGUCGACAGUGACAUUGGGACAGGGACACGACCCAGACUCCUACGGGAGGUAGGAGUUGGGAAGAAUUCACAAUGAGCGUAAGCCUGAUGCGGCGACGCCGUGUUGAGGAUGUCGGCCUUCGGGUUGUAAGCUCCUUUCGACCGCGAUGAAGCCACCUGGUUGGAAGGGUGGUGACGGUAGUGGUAGAAGAAGCACCGGCUAACUACGUG
rnacentral:rRNA from 1 species